rnacentral:rRNA from 1 species
CCUACGGGAGGCAGCAGUGAGGAAUAUUGGUCAAUGGACGAGAGUCUGAACCAGCCAAGUAGCGUGAAGGAUGACUGCCCUAUGGGUUGUAAACCUCUUUUAUAUGGGAAUAAAAUGUUCCACGUGUGGGAUUUUGUAUGUACCAUAUGAAUAAGGAUCGGCUAACUCCGUGCCAGCAGCCGCGGUAAGACGGAGGAUCCGAGCGUUAUCCGGAUUUAUUGGGUUUAAAGGGAGCGCAGGUGGAUUGUUAAGUCAGUUGUGAAAGUUUGCGGCUCAACCGUAAAAUUGCAGUUGAAACUGGCAGUCGUGAGUACAGUAGAGGUGAGCGGAAUUCGUGGUGUAGCGGUGAAAUGCUUAGAUAUCACGAAGAACUCCGAUUGCGAAGGCAGCUCACUGGACUGCAACUGACACUGAGGCUCGAAAGUGUGGGUAUCAAACAGGAUUAGAUACCCUAGUAGUC